rnacentral:rRNA from 1 species
UUAAAUUGAAGAGUUUGAUCAUGGCUCAGAUUGAACGCUGGCGGCAGGCCUAACACAUGCAAGUCGAACGGUAACAGGAAGAAGCUUGGUUCUUUGCUGACGAG